GACCGCCUGGGGAGUACGGUCGCAAGAUUAAAACUCAAAUGAAUUGACGGGGGCCCGCACAAGCGGUGGAGCAUGUGGUUUAAUUCGAUGCAACGCGAAGAACCUUACCUACUCUUGACAUCCAGAGAACUUUCCAGAGAUGGAUUGGUGCCUUCGGGAACUCUGAGACAGGUGCUGCAUGGCUGUCGUCAGCUCGUGUUGUGAAAUGUUGGGUUAAGUCCCGCAACGAGCGCAACCCUUAUCCUUGUUUGCCAGCGAGUAAUGUCGGGAACUCCAGGGAGACUGCCGGUGAUAAACCGGAGGAAGGUGGGGACGACGUCAAGUCAUCAUGGCCCUUACGAGUAGGGCUACACACGUGCUACAAUGGCGCAUACAGAGGGCGGCCAACUUGCGAAAGUGAGCGAAUCCCAAAAAGUGCGUCGUAGUCCGGAUUGGAGUCUGCAACUCGACUCCAUGAAGUCGGAAUCGCUAGUAAUCGUGGAUCAGAAUGCCACGGUGAAUACGUUCCCGGGCCUUGCACA
rnacentral:rRNA from 1 species